rnacentral:misc_RNA from 1 species
AGCAGCCGCGGUAAUUCCAGCUCCAAUAGCGUAUAUUAAAGUUGCUGCAGUUAAAAGCUCGUAGUUGAAUUUCGGGACUAAUAUGUCGGUCGUGCCUCGGUACGUACUGGUUUAUUGGUUUCUCCUUUCUGAAGAACCAUGAUGUCAUUUAUUUGGCGUCGUGGGGAAUCAGGACUGUUACUUUGAAAAAUUAGAGUGUUUAAAGCAGGCUCACGCUUGAAUACAUUAGCAUGGAAUAAUGAAAUAGGACGUUUUGAUUCUAUUUUGUUGGUUUCUAGGAUCGACGUAAUGAUUAAUAGGGAUAGUUGGGGGCAUUAGUAUUCAAUUGUCAGAGGUGAAAUUCUUGGAUUUAUUGAAGACUAACUACUGCGAAAGCAUUUGCCAAGGAUGUUUUCAUUAAUCAAGAACGAAAGUUAGGGGAUCGAAGACGAUCAGAUACCGUCGUAGUCUUAACCAUAAACUAUGCCGACUAGGGAUCGGAUGAUGUUAAUUUUUAAUGACUCAUUCGGCGCCUUAC